GAAGAACUAACCAGGAUUCCCCUAGUAACGGCGAGCGAACCGGGAAGAGCCCAACUUGAAAAUCUGGGAGCCUUGCUCUCCGAAUUGUAGUCUAGAGAAGUGUCCUCUGUAACGGACCGAGCCUAAGUUCCCUGGAACGGGACGUCAGAGAGGGUGAGAGCCCCGUCGACCUCGGACCCUGUUACUCCACGAGGCGCUGUCAACGAGUCGGGUUGUUUGGGAAUGCAGCCCUAAUUGGGUGGUAAAUUCCAUCUAAGGCUAAAUACUGGCGAGAGACCGAUAGCGAACAAGUACCGCGAGGGAAAGAUGAAAAGAACUUUGAAAAGAGAGUUAAAAAGUGCUUGAAAUUGUUGAGAGGGAAGCGAAUGGAAGCAGUGGGUGCGCCUCGGUCGUAUGCGUGACGGGAAACUGGACCGCUGAUCGACGCGAGGUGCUGGUCAGCAUGGGUUAGCGCGGCGGGACAAACGCAGGGAUUGAUACUCUGUCGAUGCCGGCGCGCUGACCGAGGAUUAAGUGUGCGCUUUGCGGCUUCGGACCUGCACACUCAUGAUGCUGGCGCAAUGCUUCCAUCCGGCCCGUCUUGAAACACGGACCAAGGAGUCUAACAUGUAUGCGAGCCGGUGGGUGGCAAACCCAUGAGGCGCAAGUAACCUGACUGGUGGGAUCUCUUUGAGUGCACCAUCGACCGACCAUGAUCUUCUGUGAAAGGUUUGAGUACGAGCAUACCUGUUGGGACCCGAAAGAUGGUGAACUAUGCCUGAGCAGGGCGAAGCCAGAGGAAACUCUGGUGGAGGCUCGUAGCGAUACUGACGUGCAAAUCGUUCGUCAGACUUGGGUAUAGGGGCGAAAGACUAAUCGAACCAUCUAGUAGCUGGUUUCCUCCGAAGUUUCCCUCAGGAUAGCUGGAGCUCGUUCAGUUUUAUCAGGUAAAGCGAAUGAUUAGAGGCCUCAGGGAUGAAACAUCUUUGACCUAUUCUCAAACUUUAAAUAGGUAAGCUGCCAAGGUUGCUUAAUUGAACCUUGGCGAUGAAUGAGAG
rnacentral:rRNA from 1 species